rnacentral:rRNA from 1 species
AUAUCACUAAGCGGAGAAAAAGAAAAUAACCAUGAUUCCUAGAGUAACGGCGAGUGAAAUAGGAAAAGCCCAUAGCCGAAUUCUGCUGUCCUCGACGGCAGCUAGAAGUUGUGGCGUUGGGAACUGCCUUUGUAACCGAUCGGUCGGGCUACGCGACUCCUCUUGAUUGUGGUCCUGCCAGU